rnacentral:rRNA from 1 species
CUAGUACGAGAGGACCGGAGUGGACGCAUCACUGGUGUUCGGGUUGUCAUGCCAAUGGCACUGCCCGGUAGCUAAAUGCGGAAGAGAUAAGUGCUGAAAGCAUCUAAGCACGAAACUUGCCCCGAGAUGAGUUCUCCCUGAGACUUUAAGUCUCCUGAAGGAACGUUGAAGACGACGACGUUGAUAGGCCGGGUGUGUAAGCGCAGCGAUGCGUUGAGCUAACCGGUACUAAUGAACCGUGAGGCUUAACCUUACAACGCCGAAG